AGCUCUAAUAGCGUAUAUUAAUGUUGUUGCAGUUAAAAAGCUCGUAGUUGGAUUUUGGAGUUUGACAGGCGGUCUGCCCAAUGGGUGUGUACUGACUGUUGACUCUUCUUUUCUGGGAACCACACUGUUCUUUAUUGAGGGGUGUUGGAACGCAGAUUUUUACUUUGAAAAAAUUAGAGUGUUCAAAGCAGGCCAACGCAUUGAAUACAUUAGCAUGGAAUAAUGGAAUAGGACUUUGGUCUUAUUUUGUUGGUUUCUAAGGCCGAGGUAAUGAUUAAUAGGGAUAGUUGGGGGCGUUUAUAUUCCGUUGUCAGAGGUGAAAUUCUUGGAUUUACGGAAGAUAAACUACUGCGAAAGCAUUCGCCAAGGAUGUUUUCA
rnacentral:rRNA from 1 species